CAGGAGUCGCGUCGGGGGUGGAUUUGAACCACAUGGUUCGACUGAACGGCGUAGCCGUUCAGAGCGCCGCUUUAGCGGCGACCCGGAGGGUGAGGGGCGUAGCCCCGAAUAAUCCACCCCCCUCCACCA
rnacentral:sRNA from 2 species